CGCCGCCGCAGCCUUCUAGUGUUUUCCUCCGACGCUUCGCGUUCCUUAGCAACGCUCCCGGAAGUGAUUGGAAACCGUCGGCGGGAGGCGAGAAACCGAUUCCGGGGGGGGUACAGGGGGCGGGGCUGGGGCGGAGUCGUGUCCGGGAAGGGACGGUUUGGCCUUUACUGGGGGCGGGCGGAGCAGAGGCCGCGGCUGGGCGGGGAGCAAAGGGCGAUGCCACUGUACCAUAUUACUUCAGGCUCACAACCAUCUGUUGUACUUCCCUAUGACAUAGGUGUAAUUAAGAAGCCUCACUUCCAUUGCUUCCAAGCAAGGACUGUUCCUCAUGAAAGUGUAUUGAAACAUAUUGAGAAAUAACCUGCAUGGUAUUUAAAAUGAGAAGGUUCUGGCCAUUGAACUCCAGCUCUAAGGUGAAAUAAAACAUUGUUCCCUUGGAGAAAUUAAUUUGGG
rnacentral:lncRNA from 1 species